GCNUGCAGUCGAGCGAGAGCUUCNGANAGANACUUCGGUUGAUUUCUGNNNNNNNNNNNNNGCGAAAGGGAGAGUAACGAGUAGAUAACGUANCNNNNNGUUCGGGAUAGCUGCGGGAAACUGCAGGUAAUACCGAAUAAUGUCUCCGGACCAAAGAUUUAUCGCCCUUGGAUCGGUCUGCUUACUAUUAGCUUGUUGGUGAGGUAAAGGCUCACCAAGGCUGAGAUGGUUAGCGGGUGUGAGAGCAUGGCCCGUCUCACUGGGACUGAGACACUGCCCAGACACCUACGGGUGGCUGCAGUCGAGAAUCUUCCGCAAUGGACGAAAGUCUGACGGAGCGACGCCGCGUGCGGGAUGAAGGCCUUCGGGUUGUAAACCGCUGUCAGAGGGGAGCAAAUUUUGAGCGAUCCUCAGAGGAAGCACAGGCUAAGUUCGUGCCAGCAGCCGCGGUAAUACGAACUGUGCGAACGUUAUUCGGAAUCACUGGGCUUAAAGGGUGCGUAGGCGGGUUUGAAGGUCUGAUGUGAAAGCCCACGGCUCAACCGUGGAAUUGCGUUGGAAACCACAAGCCUUGAGGGAGUCAGANGUGAGCGGAACUAAUNNNGNGCGGUGAAAUGCGUUGA
rnacentral:rRNA from 1 species